CCGCUUUGAGUCAAUCGAAAGCGAUUAAAUAAAUGUAUUUAUUUACCUUCAUUUCGCGCUGUCAUGUCAUUUGCCGUGAAAAACAAAAUAACGAAAAAUGAAUAAACAAAUAAAACAAAACAAUGUUUAUGUGGGUACAAAAAGUCAAUCACAACACUUCAACAAUAAUCAAACCACCCAAAAGUAGUGUUGAAGAUCUUGUGUCUCGUGUUGUUUGUCUGUGUUUGUCCAGAUGACUCUAAACACUGGCCAUUUAGCGACCUCCAUUACUCCAGUUCCUCUGAGAGCUCAUUACUGAACCAAUAUUUCACCGAUAGUUUCUACGUUCAUCUAAUAAUUCAGAUGCUCGACAAACUGACAGAUUCGUUCAGAAAUAAAGAAGAAAUAAUUGGUGCACACUCACCUGCAGCAGAGCAAAGCAGACAGCCACUUCUGAUUGAAGACUGAUUGACACACUUGAUGACCACAAGAGGGACCCUGCAGAUACAAUGAGUGAUAGAAUGUUUGCUUGUUUAUUUGUUUAUUUACUUACUUAGAAAAAAAUGUUAAUCACUAAACACAUUCAGUCAUAUGCAGGAGGGCCUAUUCAAGCUAGAUAUUUAAUGACCGUCGAUAACUGGAAGUCAUUUUCAGUCUGUCCUGUAGAAAGUGUGCAGUUCUCCUUCCAAUCCGCUAGAGGCGCAGGAGACCUCACGUUCAGCACGAGGCUCACCUUUGGCUUUCUGUAAACAACACGACGCUUGACCACAGUCAAAACAAACCUUUCUGAGCGUUUUAAAGAUAUAAAAGUAAAUUUCCUGCAGGUGACAGUCAGUGAGAGCCUUUAAAUGUCACUUAUCAGCGCACAUUUCAGCCCUUUCAGGUAAAAACAUGCGACUAUCUCUGGAUGAUGUGCAGGAAUGCUGGACACUCCAUCACCUUCCAGCCUACCUUUCUGUCUCACCGCUGCAGGUUUGUCCGAGCCAUCACCGCUGUGUAGUCUUACCGCCCCAGGAUGCCUUUGCCGCUCAGUUGUCUUACCGCCCCAGAUGAGCUUGUGAUUCAUUGAACACAGCUGGCAGAUCCUUUAGGGUUCAUCAGUCCAACUGCUUCUGAGCUGAACCUGAGAGAGACAUCUAGUGCUCAAUGCUGAAAUUACAGCUCAUUCACAAACAAAUGAGUGGAAUAUUGUUGCAGGUAAGGUAAAAAACACAAUCAUCAUGACAAUUGUAAAUAAACUUUUUAAUAAAAAUACA